rnacentral:misc_RNA from 1 species
UACAGGACGCAGCAGUGGGGAAUUUUGGACAGUAAGAAACCUGAUCCAGCCAUCCCGCGUGUACGAUGAAGACCUUCGGUUAUCGCCCACUUUUGGCAGGAAAGAAACAGCCAGGAUAUGCAAUGCAGCAAACAUUACCUGCAGAAUAGCACCAGCUAACUACGUGCCAGCAGCCGCGGUAAUACGUGGUCGCAAGCGCUAAUCGGAAUUACUGGGCGUAAAGCGUGCGCAGGCAGUUCGGAAAGAAAAGAUGUGAAAUCCCGAGCUUAACUUUGGAACUGCAUUUUUAACUACCGAGCUAGAGUGUGUCAGAGGUGGAAUUCCGCGUGUAGCAGUGAAAUGCGUAGAUAUGCGGAGAACACCGAUGGCAGAGAGCAGCCUCACUGGGAUAACACUGACGCUCAUGCACGAAAGCAUUAAGAGGCGACGGGAUUAGAUACCCUCAUG